AAACCAACCGGGAUUGCCUUAGUAACGGCGAGUGAAGCGGCAAAAGCUCAAAUUUGAAAUCUGGUACCUUUGGUGCCCGAGUUGUAAUUUGGAGAGGGCAAUUUCGAGACCGUUCCUUGUCUAUGUUCCUUGGAACAGGACGUCAUAGAGGGUGAGAAUCCCGUGUGGCGAGGAGUGCGGUUCUCAAUGUGAAAUGCCUUCGAAGAGUCGAGUUGUUUGGGAAUGCAGCUCUAAGUGGGUGGUAAAUUCCAUCUAAAGCUAAAUAUUGGCGAGAGACCGAUAGCGAACAAGUACAGUGAUGGAAAGAUGAAAAGAACUUUGAAAAGAGAGUGAAAAAGUACGUGAAAUUGUUGAAAGGGAAGGGCAUUUGAUCAGACAUGGUGUUUUGUGCCCUCUGCUCCUUGUGGGUAGGGGAAUCUCGCAUUUCACUGGGCCAGCAUCAGUUUUGGUGGCAGGAUAAAUCCGUAGGAAUGUAACUUGCUUCGGGAAGUAUUAUAGCCUGCGGGAAUACUGCCAGCUGGGACUGAGGACUGCGACGUAAGUCAAGGAUGCUGGCAUAAUGGUUAUAUGCCGC
rnacentral:rRNA from 1 species